UUCCAGCUGCUUUUGGCUGGAGCCCAUCCGGGCCCCCCAACCUCAGCCAGCCUUCCUUGCCCUGCGUGGAACGGCCAGCCCAUCAAAGUGGCACCAUGGCAUCCCGGCUCUGUGAAUACCCGCUGGUGGUACCUCUGUACCGGCACUUGCUGCUUUUUUCGAGGGUACGUAGGCCCUGCAUUGUCCACGUGGGAUACCUGCUGUUGUGCACCGGUGGGCACGGGUUGGAGGCCUCCAACUGGGGCCAAGCAGAUACAGUUUGAACCCCGGCCGGAGUUCGGAAGAGUCGGGCACACCGGCCACUUGCAAGACUUAAAACGGGAGGGACGGGGGGGCAACCUCCUUUGAUGGGAGGACUGGCUUGGGCCAAGACGGGAAGGCCAGGCCAGGCCAGGCCAGGCCCCGGAGGCCCAGCUGCCCCUCUGGUUCUCUCCCGGGGGGGGAACGGGGGCUUCCUUUGCUUCGAGACCACCUACCCACCAUCUCCACGGAGGAAGCCAGGGGAAACAGCCGGAGCCGAAGACGCCAUCCGGGGGAUCCUGCUUUUCUGAGCAUCUUUGCACUCUCUACAGACUCUCCUCUCGAAACACACACAAACACACCCACAAAUAUCUUGGACGGCACUUUGCGCUGGAAACGCACAUCGUUCCCCAAAGGGGCUCCCCCUCCCAAGAGUUUGAGAUGAAGCCGGCGUGCCGGAAAAACGCUUCGUCCAGGACGCUGCGGAGAAUGUCGAGGUUCUGCCUGUGACUUUUGCUGCUCCGCUCAAUCACGGGGCUCGUUCCUGCGACCGAUGCCCCUUUGGGAGAGGAGGGUCGGAAGGGCCCUUGGGCAGGAGGAAGGCACCCCCCCCCCCCACUACCUUCCUCGGUGACCUGUGAGAAGCAAACAACUCCCCAGCGAGAAGGAAGGAGACGGUGCCCG